rnacentral:lncRNA from 1 species
UAAAGGGCGAGACAGGCGAGAUCGCUCGCUUCGGCCUGGUUGCUGCGCCGGUGCGCUGGCCCCGGGUUCUGCGCGCUGACGUCGCGGGAGGAAUGCGGUGACGCCGCGCGGCUCGUCUGUGACUGUUCUUUGCUGCCCCUGGGAGUGACCUGAUGGAAAAGCAGCAGCUGCAGCCCCAGUCUGCCUGGAAGUGCCAGCUGAGACCCAACCCUGAGAAGACCCCCUAAGAAUUCAGGAGACUUCCAGGCAGGAAGCGCCCAGAUAAACCGCAGCUGCCAAGCAAGUGGCUCAGCCCC